rnacentral:lncRNA from 10 species
AUCUGCACUGUUGUGUUCAUUGCAGCAUUAGUCACAAUAGCCAAGAUAAGGAAACAACCAAGGUGUCCAUUGAUAGGUGAGCAGAUAAAUCACACACACAGACACACACACACACACACACACACACACACAGAGAUUAUUCAGCCUUAAAAAAGGAAAUCCUGGCAUUUGCCACAACAUGGAUGAAUCUGGAGGACAUUAUGCUAAGUGAAAUAAGCCAGACACAGAAAAAUACUGCAUGAUCUCAUACGUGAAAUCUUAAAAAACCAGUCAAAUACACAGCAAAUAAAAUGGCAGUUAUCAGGGGUGUGGUGGAGUACAAAUGGGGAGAUGUAGGUCACAGGCUAAAAAGUACCAGAUAUGUAGGAUGUACAA